GAAAUGCGAUAAGUAGUGUGAAUUGCAGAAUUCAGUGAAUCAUCGAAUCUUUGAACGCACAUUGCGCACCUUGGUAUUCCAUGGGGCAUGCCUGUUCGAGCGUCAUUUGUACCCUCAAGCUCUGCUUGGUGUUGGGUGUUUGUCCCGUCUCCGCGCGUGGACUCGCCCCAAAGUGAUUGGCAGCCGGCGUACUGGUCCCGGAGCGCAGCACAUGUCGCGCAAACGAGUGCCUUGGUACGGCGGCGUCCAUAAGCCCCUCUCUCACGCUCUUGACCUCGGAUCAGGUAGGGAUACCCGCUGAACUUAAGC
rnacentral:misc_RNA from 1 species